rnacentral:rRNA from 1 species
UACGUAGGCAGCGAGCGUUGUUCGGAAUUACUGGGCGUAAAGAGUGUGUAGGCGGUGUUCCCAGUCUGUUGUGAAAUCUCCCGGCUUAACUGGGAGGGUGCAGCGGAAACUAGAAUGCUAGAGGGUGGGAGAGGUAAGCGGAAUUCCUGGUGUAGCGGUGAAAUGCGUAGAUAUCAGGAGGAACACCUGUGGUGUAGACAGCUUACUGGACCACUUCUGACGCUGAGGAGCGAAAGCCAGGGGAGCAAACGGG